CCUACGGGAGGCAGCAGUGGGGAAUCUUGCGCAAUGGGCGAAAGCCUGACGCAGCAACGCCGCGUGCGGGAUGAAGGCCUUCGGGCUGUAAACCGCUUUCAGCAGGAACGAAAAUGACGGUACCUGCAGAAGAAGGAGCGGCCAACUAUGUGCCAGCAGCCGCGGUGAUACAUAGGCUUCAAGCGUUGUCCGGAUUUAUUGGGCGUAAAGAGUUCGUAGGCGGUCGAGUAAGUCGGGUGUGAAAAUUCUGGGCUCAACCCAGAGACGCCACCCGAUACUGCUUAACUUGAGUUCGAUAGGGGAGUGGGGAAUUCCUAGUGUAGCGGUGAAAUGCGCAGAUAUUAGGAGGAACACCGGUGGCGAAGGCGCCACUCUGGAUCGACACUGACGCUGAGGAACGAAAGCAUGGGUAGCAAACAGGAUUAGAUACCCUGGUAGUCCAUGCGGUAAACGGUGGGCACUAGGUGUGGGUUUCUAUUAACGAAAUCCGCGCCGUCGCUAACGCAUUAAGUGCCCCGCCUGGGGAGUACGGUCGCAAGACUAAAACUCAAAGGAAUUGACGG
rnacentral:rRNA from 1 species